UUCAGCCGACAAGAAGCACUUAAAAUCGGGUUCUCAGCUAAGUUAAGCCAAAGCAAAAGCUUAAAAAAAUAUUUGAAAUUCAACAGAUUUUUGAAGUCAAAGUUAAUGAAGAGUGUCUCGAAAUAAAGUGUAAAGCCAAACAUAUUUUUGAUUAUAAUUAACAGUGUUGAGUGCAGCUUGCAAAUAUUGCGUAACUCGAGCUCGAUGCUGGACUUGAGCGCCAAUUGAACUUGAAAAUAGAAAAAGUUUUUGUGUUUUAAAGAAAAAAUUUCAAGUAUUAAAACUCUCAAAUUAAUGAAAACAUUUACAAAACAGUUUAAUCUCUACAAAAAUAAUUAAACAAUAAUAAAAAUAAUUAUUUAACUGCGUUUCGCAAACCAACGCACAGGCGAAACUCAACUCACGCUCACACCCGAUAAGCGCUACUCCGCUGACGCCAAUUUUUCGCGCCCACCAAAGGCUCCACGACAACACAACGGAAGUGGUCGCUCAUUAAGUGCGGCGUAACUAAAGAAACAGUAACAGAAAUUUGUGUUAUUUGCAUAAAACUAAGCGAAUUUCUUCAUACGUCUGUGUGCGAUUACCUAAUACAAGCCGAAAAAGAGCACAAACACUCUUUGCAUUGAACUAAUUAAAGCAGUAAAACUAGUGACGAUUUUUAGUUGAAGUUUGAAUUUCAACAAAAAAAAAAAAACUAUCCGAAAUGCAGCCUCUAAAACGGUUCACACAAUGUGGCAGUCUAACCAUGCUUUUUGGCGUCUUCAUUAUACUCUUCGGUGUCAGUUCGACCGCUUUGACAACUUUUGGCAAGACGAAUAAUGACAAGCCAACGCCAACACCAAUAAUAAAGGGCAAGGAAUGUAACAACCAUGAUGACUGCAUAACGAUAGAUAAAACCAGCUGCGUCAAGGACCCCAACGACUACAAGCAUCGUUGCCUGUGCGGUGAUGAUUCGGCGCCGGUUAAUGGACAUUGCCAGGAUGUGCUAAAAGGUCUACGUCACAAAUGCACCAGUAGCCAUGAAUGUGAGGACGGUUUGGUUUGUCAAUUCGAGAGUCUUAAUCGUACAAUUGGUGUAUCGAAAUUCAUUUCUAAGACUAAAUUAUGCCUCUGUGACAAUGAGAGUGGAUUCUUCGAAGAUGUUUUGCGUGACAUUUGCAGCGGCGCUUCGCUACAAACAAUUGCAAAUAUUUUAUGCUCGCUGGUCUCCACAGUGGCGCCGUUCAUUGUCUACGCACGCAUGAAGCCGCAUUUCUAAACGGUCAAUCAACAGCAUAUGAGCUAAACAUGUUUUAUCACAGUUUUUUCUAAGUUUAAUUUCUCUACCAAUUGUGAUGUUAAAUAUUUUGAAUAUUUUGUUGAAGCACAUAAACAUAUUUACCUAUGUUUUGAGGCAAAACUUGCAAUAAAAAUCUACACAUUAGAAAGUAUAUGGUCAAUUAGCUUAGUAAAAUAUAGUAAGUGUGAUUGUUUGCAUAAAUAUAUGGCAGCACUGCACAUUGAACAAAAUCUAUGAAGAACUUAUUCAACUUAAAGAAACAAACCUCAACUCAAACCAACUGGCAUAUUUAUAUAUAAUUAUAAGUAUCACUGGUUUUAUAUAAAUAUCGAUUUUACUGUGUGUCACCAACUAUCGUGCCUCUUACAUGGAAUAUAGUUUAAGUUUAUUUACCUGUAUACACCUAAAUGCUCUACUAUAUACAUACAUACCUAACAGUUAUAGUAUAUAAGUGUAAUAAAUAACGAAAUAUUGUAAAAUAUACUCGUAUAUGUCUAUCAUUGAUGUCUUAUAGUCAUAGUUCAUCGUUCAUAACAUUACUACCACCGCCAAGUUUAUCUGCCUUAACACUAAGGUUCCCUUAAAUUCAACUUUAUAUACAACAUUAGAAGGAAUAAUACAGAAAAUAAAAGAAUGAAAACUACGCAAUGCACACACUUGGAUUUUACAUAACUAUAUAGUACACUGAUCAUCUGAAAUUGGUCUUACUCUCAAGCAAAACUACCCUUUGCAGCACUCAACGCACCAGCAACAUACCUGAGAACACUUAAGCACGUGCUAGUUGUAAUUCUACACCGUAGUUUGUUAAACAAUAAUAAAAAAAUUAAUAUAAAGGUUUACUUGCAUUAAAACACGCGUUCGUUUUACACGAUUUCAGUGCUGGCGAGAGCGUUAACUCGACUUUGGAGAAUUUUGAGGAGAUAAUCCAAGCCAAGCUAAGCGGCUAUGCCUUGCCAACUGAAUUAACAAACUGUUUUGUUUUGCCAUUUGUACCUUAGAUAAAAGAAAGCAUUAUUCCUAGACUUAAGCGCAUUAUUAGACACCCUUUAAAAUAAGUAUUUAUAUAUCAUAUUUAGGACAUAAGUAUAUAACCAGGCUUUGUAAAAAUGUGUUUAAGUUUAGAUACCAGAAAGUUAUAUAUUUAAUUGAAAUAUUAUUAUUAUAAAAUAGACAUGAUGGUCGCCAAAGCACCAAAUUGUGCUUAUACAGAGUGUUGUUUCACUGAAAUGCCAUGAAACAACUUAAAUUCGGCAGCCAGCAGUCGUUGUUGUUAGUCUUAGCCGGAUACAGUUUUAGCUAGUUCUAGCUACGUAGACUUUUCCGUUUAAUUUUUUAACACCAAUAUUAUUGCAAAGUGGUUGCUUACUGACGGGUUAGGCAAAGCUAAAUUAUGAGAAAUAAGAACUGAUCAGUUCGGUUCUUUUAUAACACCUUUCAUUCGACUAACUAAUUAACCUUUUGCCACAUUUACCUAUAAUUAUUCCAACUUUAUUGAAUAUAACAGUUAUAGUUACAAACAUUUCAUUCCUUUCAAUCAAUAAUCAUCGAUCAAUCUAUAAAAUGUCAUAGAGUAGCCAGUUCCAGAUGUGGCAACCCUCAUCACCCUUUACAUAAGUGGUUUUGGAUCGGUGGUGAUUGCCCUUUAAGCUAUAAUACAGAUACAAACUUGAUUUAGUAUGAAUGGCAUCUACGAUUGGACAGCUCUUUAAUAACACUCUAAAUCUUCUGUGCGGUGUUUGAAUAUUCAUUCUUCCUAAGUAGUAGUACUUCCUAAGCCACUUGUCUCAGGACAGCUAGGGUUACUAAACGUUAAGAAGGUGUUGUAAUACAGAGGCACGCAUUUCACGCGUUUUUUGAUCCUUUAUCUUUUGUUAUAUAAUACGAAUUUCAUUAUCUUUUGGAAGAAAGAAAAAAGAUUUUCGUAAAAAGGGGGUUCCUAUAAAGAUCGAGUCUUUUAACUUUAUCGAUUUUUUUAAUAUUACAAAUUAGAUAUUUAAAAGUUUUGUUAGUUACUAUGUACGAAGGAGAGAUUUUUAAAGAGUAUAUGUACACUUUUAAUUUCAAGUAAACUGUUAAAUGUUAAUAACUUGAGCCAUGGUAACUUACGCUUGAAAACAGUUUAAGAAAACCGCGACACUAAAACGACUAUAAUUAAAAAUGAUAAAAAACAACGAUCUUUCAAAUUUUUAGAUUAGAAUAUUCUCAUAAUAUGGUGCAAAGCAGUUACCUAAGAAUAUGUUGGCGAAAUAAAUUGAACCAGGCUAUCAGCCUAAAAUCAUAUUGAAAUGAGCCGAACCCCUUUGGUAAAAUCGAAAUACCUCUUUUAAAGGAAUAUUUGUUCUGAAGCUACUAAGGGUUGCUUGCAGCAUCAAAUAAAAUUAUGAGAAAGGGAGUGAGUGGUUUCCAUUGUGUAAUGGUAAAAGUCAAUGCACAGUUUUUGAUCAGUAAAGUUUUGGGUAUAAAAGGAUCUCAGCGGAUUCCAAGUUCAAAAUGGAGGGUGCUGUAUAAAAAGAAUAUGUUAACAUAACAUCUUAUGUUUUUCAGUUACUCCUUUAAAAUAGUUUCUAUAUGCUAAAAUUCGUGGCAAAAAGUGCAGAAAUUAUUUGUUAACCCUUUUUAAAUGCUCUGGUUAUAUACGAUCACAUUUCAUAUAUGUAAACAUUUAUAGACAUUAACACAAAAAUAUUGAAAAUGAAAAUCUCAAUCAAAUAAUCGUAUUGUAGUUUAUGUUCAUCCGUGAUUUUAAUGUAUGUAUGUAUGUGAAAAUUUUUUCGUACCUUGUUUUCAAUAAAAGUCCAAAACGCUAA
rnacentral:misc_RNA from 1 species